rnacentral:tRNA from 1 species
GUCCCCAUCGUCUAGGGGCCUAGGACGCCGGGCUUUCAAUCCGGCAACACGGGUUCGAAUCCCGUUGGGGACG